GGAUCUUCCUUCUUUUUUUUUAAUCCUUAAAUUUUCAGCAGCUUCCAAAUGAUGGUAGUUCACUAAAUGGUGGUGGAAGCUGCCAAUUCCUUGUAAUUGAUUGCUUCCAACAGGCAAAAUAAUCAAUAUUUCGGUUCCUCUUUCAAUCCUCUACUUGUUCCACCAUGACAAGUUUUUCGGUUUGGAGUUGGAAAAUCACCGGCUUGCUGGGAUUAGGAUACAAAUUGCCGUGAAA